UUCCAGACUCCUACGGGAGGCAGCAGUGGGGAAUAUUGCACAAUGGGGGAAACCCUGAUGCAGCGACGCCGCGUGAGUGAAGAAGUAUUUCGGUAUGUAAAGCUCUAUCAGCAGGGAAGAAAAUGACGGUACCUGAUUAAGAAGCCCCGGCUAACUACGUGCCAGCAGCCGCGGUAAUACGUAGGGGGCAGGCGUUAUCCGGAUUUACUGGGUGUAAAGGGAGCGUAGACGGUGAUGCAAGUCAGAAGUGAAAGCCCGGGGCUCAACUCCGGGACUGCUUUUGAAACUGUGUGACUGGAGUGCAGGAGAGGUAAGCGGAAUUCCUAGUGUAGCGGUGAAAUGCGUAGAUAUUAGGAGGAACACCAGUGGCGAAGGCGGCUUACUGGACUGUAACUGACGUUGAGGCUCGAAAGCGUGGGGAGCAAACAGGAUUAGAUACCCUUGUA
rnacentral:rRNA from 1 species